rnacentral:rRNA from 1 species
UACGUAGGGCGCAAGCGUUGUCCGGAAUUAUUGGGCGUAAAGAGCUCGUAGGCGGUCUGUCGCGUCGGCUGUGAAAACACGGGGCUCAACUCCGUGCCUGCAGUCGAUACGGGCAGACUAGAGUUCGGUAGGGGAGACUGGAAUUCCUGGUGUAGCGGUGAAAUGCGCAGAUAUCAGGAGGAACACCGGUGGCGAAGGCGGGUCUCUGGGCCGAAACUGACGCUGAGGAGCGAAAGCGUGGGGAGCGAACAGG